rnacentral:tRNA from 1 species
AGUAAAGUCAGCUAAUAAAGCUUUUGGGCUCAUGCCCCAAACAUGUCGGGUUAAAUUCCCUCCUUUACCA